rnacentral:rRNA from 1 species
UACAGAGGUCCCGAGCGUUGUUCGGAUUCACUGGGCGUAAAGGGUGCGUAGGUGGUGGGGUAAGUCGGAUGUGAAAGCUCGGAGCUCAACUCCGAAAUGGCAUUGGAAACUACCCUGCUGGAGGUUUGGAGGGGGGACUGGAAUACUUGGUGUAGCAGUGAAAUGCGUAGAUAUCAAGUGGAACACCAGUGGCGAAGGCGAGUCCCUGGACAAAACCUGACACUGAGGCACGAAAGCCAGGGGAGCAAACAGG